UACAGAGGGUGCGAGCGUUAAUCGGAAUUACUGGGCGUAAAGCGUGCGUAGACGGUUAUUUAAGUCGGGUGUGAAAUCCCCAGGCUUAACCUGGGAACUGCAUUCGAGACUGCAUUGCUAGAGUAUGGGAGAGGGAAGUGGAAUUUCCGGUGUAGCGGUGAAAUGCGUAGAUAUCGGAAGGAACAUCAGUGGCGAAAGCGACUUCCUGGACCAAUACUGACGCUCAUGUGCGAAAGCGUGGGGAGCAAACAGG
rnacentral:rRNA from 1 species